rnacentral:lncRNA from 1 species
GUUAAUGUAAAAAUAGAUGUUCUGCAGGCAUCAUAGAGUUCCUCUUUAGGUUCCCAUGGAAACCGAGCAGCGCAAGUAUGUGAAGAAUUUUUUUAAGUUAGCCCAAGAUUUUGUCCUCCAAAGAUUUAGGGUCAUUCUGCCUUGUGGUUUGGGGGCAUUUUUUUUUAAAGUUUUUUUUAAGUAAUUAAUAAAAUAACUUCACCUUCCCUCCAUCCUCCCCAACCUACUCACAGAGCAUUCUUUUAUUUAAAGUGUCCAACACAAAGGUUAUUUUGUGACAUUUUGAAUAAUGCAACCCCUUAAGGGUAUUUUUUUAAAGUUCUUUUGCAACAAAGUUUCUCCUCCCCAACCUCAGAAGACGGAAACAAAAGAGACAUUUAUUUCGUUCGAUUUAAAGUGAUUUGGAAUUGCUGCUGGGGUUAGAUUAUGGGAAAUUGCCCACCAGGGAAACAAACUUGGUCACCACCCCUGAACUGCAGUGAUGACGUCCCAUGGGGACACACAAGACAAACAAAAUACUGAGAAAACCGAGGUUCUCACUCUGCCCACAGAGGGAGCUCCGAGUUGCAGCUGCCUCUUUCUGCUCCUUUUCAGUUCAGAUAAAUUGCACUUGGUCAACGGAAAUGUCCUAAGGGCACUGCAGCUGCAGCUGGAGAAUGAAGAAGACAUAAAAUUAGGGCUUUUGUCACUGUCGCUUGAUUUCAUUAAAGGGCAUUAGUUCUCGGCGAGAUAUAUGGGGUUGGAGAGGACAGGAGCCAGAAGCUCCCAGUGCAGCAGCAAGGCUGGCCCACGUGAGCACCUGGAGCAUCAUUUCUGCUGCCACAUGCUUGGGCUGCCCCACCCCGCCGUGCCCUGCUCAGCCGUGCCCUGCUCCAUCUCCCUCGCCAGGCCUGAGACCGGCCCCCAGUGUGUUGUGACUCCUGAGGUCUCUCAGCUCUCCCUCAACCCCCAGGAGAAUUGCUCUCCACUCCAGAAGCCGCCUGAUGGGGAGGCUGACCCCUCUCCAGGACUGACUGAUCCAGGUUUAUCCUGACAGUAACCUCUCCCCAGGUCGGAAGACCUCUCAGGCUCUGUUUCUAGGGAGGCUGACCUGCUGACAAUGCUCCUAGCUGGAUUUUGUAAGCGGUCUUGAAUAAAGUCUUCCUCACUGUUUUAACAAGAGACAAGGUAAUGUUCAUUGAACAUCUUAUACAAAGAGGAAACCUGGCACAGAAGUGGACAUGCACUCGGAGGGAAAAUGCCAAGUGACAAUGAAGGCAGAGAUCAGGUGAUGCAUCUGCAAGCUGAGCAACAUCAGGAAUUGCCAAAAACCACCAGGAGCUGGAGAGGCCUGGGACAGAGCCUCCCACGGAGCCUCAAGGGAGCCAGCCCUGCCCACGCCUUGAUCUUUGACGUCCGACCUCAAGAACUAUGAAAGAACCCAUUUCUGUUGGUGAAGGCUCCCCGUCUGUGGUCCCCUGUCCUGGCAGCCCUAGGAACCUGACCUCUGGUCCCUCUGCAUCCCUGGCAUCACUCUGCCUCCCUCUCUUUUUCUCCAGUGAAUCCAACACACUCUCAGUGAGACAGCCAGGUGGCAAGGGGUUCUCGGAGAAACUCCAGCCGGCCUGCUCGCUGGGCAUGUACACUGGAGUGGAGCCACAGAAGUUCACGGUGUUUGCAGCAGGGAGGAGCCUGGCCACUCCUCUUCCUGGUUGGAACCUGGAAUUUAUUUUGUGAGGCGGGAAGCCUAUACUGGGGAGACUCUUGCUCUGCUGAGUCCCCAUUCCCCCUUUAUUUUCCUUUUUGCCCAAUAAAUCCUAUUAUUCUCAGUCUUCAAAUUGUCUGUGAGCCUAAUCUUUCAUGGCCAUGUGACAAGGACCCCGUCAUUAGCUGAGCUAAGGAAAAGUCCUGCGACAUCAGAAGGCUGAGUCCCAGGUCCUUUGUUCCAAGAGCUGAGCUUCCUCAUGGGAUGUGGGGAGGGGGGUCAGCGCAGGUGAUCGGGAGGACUGAGGCUGUUGGAGGGGGACCCCAGAGGGAGGCUUCAGUGGCUGCAUCCACAACUGGGCCACCUGGGCAUCCUUCUGAGGCAGGUUUCUCUCCACGUGCAUGGCGUGGCCCUUCCACACAGCUGUCACAAGCUAGGAGGCUCACAUGCUCUUGGGAUUCUCGGGACAUCAUGGGUCCCUGAGGGUGGCGCAGGCUGAGGGUGUGCUCCCCCGCCGGCCUGGCACAAAAACAGUAACAUUAACAUGCUUCUCCAGACCAAAGAGGCUGCUCUCAGUGUAAUCAAUGAUGGCAGGGACUUCGAAAUGUGCGUUUCCAGUGAACAACAAUGUUUAGCCGCAUGUAGUCAUCAGGCACACCUAACUGGCUCCGGAAAGUGUUAUGUUGUGAAUUAAGAUGACUGACGGAGAAAUGUCAGUUUUAUUAACAUUCUUCCUUCGGACGAUAAUUUUAUGUCUAUAAGGAUGAAUUACAAAGGACUUAAUGAAGGCGUCAGUCCAGAAUGAUGGGGUCCUUUUAGCAAAGCCUGCUUCCUUUCCUCGCUCUGUGUGUGGAGGUUUGAUCUCUGCGUGGGGUAUGGUUUCCACGUGCUGGACAUGAUUGGGCAAAAAGUCAACAAAACAGGCUGCUUGGCUUCAGGCUGACUGUGUAAAAGCCUCACCGGCUCAAGGAGGGAUCGUCCUGGGCCCGACGGCAGCGAGUGAAAUAGCAGCAGCGUUGCCAUGGAAGAUGGUUCCGUGGCACCCAGACAUCAGCAGUGGGGCUGAUGGGACUCACAUCCACUCCAUCACGACUUCAUCUCCCAGGAAAGUGUCCUCCGGAGCUGGGAAGGUUCUUCCUUUGCCUCAGUCCCCGUUUCCUGCUCGUGUUCUGCCCAGGAGCCUGUGCAAAGGGCCCGUUGCCUCUCUCCGGCCCCUUGUGAUGACUCCUCUCUGGGAAGUCCCCCACUUCCCGCACAUUCCACUCUAGAAAUUCCUUCUCUCUGCAGCGAUCUGGUCAUGUUUUCAAAAGAUUAGCCACUGCUGAGAUCUCCUGCAUGGACUUCCUACUUAUGGAGGAUCUCACACAUGCUAGAAGGUUUCAUGGGGAGGCCCUGGCUGCUCUGUCCAGGGUCUGGAGCAGGGCAGGUGCACAGCAAGGCAGCUCACUGCACGGUUGUUUGCGGAAUGAAACGACUUUGCCAAAGCCAUGGCCGCAGACAUACGAUGCUCUAAACAUGUUUGUUAUAACCAUGUAAACACGCUUCUUUAGAAAAGCUUAUUUCUUAGGAAACCUCUUUCAGUUUCUGUGGCAACAACUCAGAUAUUCCUGAGGUCCAGAAAUGCGGCUGCUCUGCACGCUGGUCAUGGGCCUCUCCUCACCUGCCCCCAGGACGGGAGCAUGGGCUCCAUCUCUGGGCCUCCUGAAAAAUGAGAUGUCGACUUGAGUGGCCUCCGACCCUGUGAGGCUGAUGUCAUCGCUCACCAGGCUGAAGUUCAGCCAGGCACUGAACCUUUCUCAGGCCCUCAAAUUCAAACCCAGACCAACCUGUCACUCUCCUUUCCAAAGCAUGGGCCACUCAUCAUGA